UCCCUAUGGGUCCCUAUGGGUCUCUAUGGGGCUCUAUGGGUCUCUAUGGGUCCCUAUGGGUCUCUAUGGCUCCCUAUUGGUUCCUAUGGGUCUCUAUUGGUCCCUAUGGGUCUCUAUGGGGUCUCUGUGGGUCACUACGGAAGCCCUGCGGGGGCGUGGCCUGACGCUGACGUCACGCAGGGGGCGGUGCUCGGCGCUCAGGCUCUCCUCUCAUUGGCCACCGCCACGGAAGUGGGGCUGGCUGUGGGCGGGGCAGUGGCGGCCGGAAGAGCUCUGGUAGGGCGGGGCCAAGCGCCAUUGGUCCUCUACCAGACAGCCCCGCCCCCCGCUGCGGCCCCGCCCACCGAAGGGGCGGGUCCUGCCUCGGCCACGCCCACCGGAAGCACCGCUCAAUAAAUGAAAGCAGCCAAUCA